GUGCUUAUAGACUGUUUGUUUCUCCAUUGUCAAAUGUUCCUUAAUGCGUGAUCCUAUUGCUCUGCCCGUUUCGCCAUCCAAUAUACAAGAUUCCACAAUGUGAGCAGGUAAUUUCAUAGACAGCAUUCUUUCUUAAACAUUGCUUGGAAUUAUAUAUUAUCAUGCCGACCCUUUUAUGGUCUUUUAUUUAUCCUUCGAUAGUGUGCAUGGUUCUGAAAUUAUUAUAUCACUGAUGUAUUAUGAGAUUAUUAUAUCACUGAUGUAUUAUGAGAUUAUUAUAUCACUGAUGUAUUAUGAGAUGUAUAUCAUGCAAGAAUCAUGACCUAUAGACCUAUAGUAUAAGUCGACUUACAUGCAUGCAGCAGUUUCAAAUUCUUAUGAUGGUGAGAAUUGACAUAUUCGUAAUUAAUAUAUAAGUUUUGGUAUAUGAAACGGAAUUGUAGUCGAUUGUAACUCCAAUAUUGUUUUGGCUUUUAAUACCAAUAUUGUUUUGGCUUGAGAAUAAGGAGGGUGCAGAAGAGGUAAAAUGGGAAGGGGUAUUUGCCUAUUUUUGGACAGGGAAAAACGUAGUUAUCUUGAGCGGUGUACAAAUAUGUACUUUAUUUUUAAUAAUGGAUGUUCCCUAAUAGCAUUGAUCUUUGUACCAUAUGCAGAUUAAUUUCAUCAAACUAAAUUAUUGCAAUAACUGUAGCUAUAAUAAUUAUAUCUUUAGAAAGUGUUUCUAAUGUGAAAGUGAGUGAUCAUGAUGGUGCAUGCCGAUUAAAUUUAUAUACGUGCUUCACUGAGAUUGCAUGCAUGUGCAUGUCAUUUCAAUGGGGCAACAUGCAAUUAUACGAAAUACGUGCAUGUGUGGUUUUCACUUGAAAAGUACAUGUAUGUUCAAAGGUGAACAGAAAUGUGACGAAACUAACUUCCAGACGAAGGUCGUUCCUUCUACUUUUCAGGUAGUUGUAUCCCUAUAUGGCCAUAUCAAUAUGCAUAAUUAUGACAUUUCAUAAUCAUGCAUGAAGUCCUCAGCAUAUUAAUAACCUUACGUUUACAAUAAAAAGUGUUGCUGCGUAAUUAUUUUGGGUUAUCGUUUGGUUAAGGUAAUAAAUAUCAUGAUGCAGAUUUCAGAGUGAUCCGAGAUUUGGAUACCUUGGGUAAUAAAUGCAUGGUUCCAUCAAACUGAUUCAUGGUAUGGAUCUAUCAAAAGAUCAUAUUAUUCCCACACAUAUGCAUGGUUGUCAGCUUUAAUGAUCCACUUAAGAUAUUAUACUAACCAUUAUUCAGACUUCAGUCUACUAAUGCAAUAAUUAUGUUUACCCUUAUUUGAAUAAUACAUGCAUGCAUGUUUCCCUUUCAGCACCGAUCAUCACAAUAAGCAGGAUUUUUCAACCAAACUAAAUUAAUGCAUUUUUCAGCUGGAUACUGGAAAUCAUUGUAUAAAUACUUCGACCGUAUUUCGUCAUUUUCGUGCCAAGAAAAUUAAUAUUCUACCGUGCAUGUUAAAAAAGACUAGUUAAAAUACUAGACUAUAUAUUAACAUGAAAUGUGACCGUCUGCUGCAUGCAUGGAAAUUCAAUUCUUUCAUUUCAUAUUUUAAAAACAUAGUUUGAGUAAUUAGUCAAUUUUAGAAAGUGCUCAUGAGAAUACAGUACCGUACUGCAUGACGUAAUGUAGCUGUAUUCGAUUCUUUUUCAUUUAUUGUCAUAUGCAUGCAUGGAGGUAUAAAGUGACAGUUAGCCUGCGUAGCAGGCGCUAUUUAGGGGGAGGGCAAGGGUUGGGAUGCAGGCUAAGUGACAAUGAUAAGUCGAUUACAGCUAAGUAGUUUUAACAUCUAUAAUUACAGAUAAAUGCGAAGGCUUCAGUUUGGAUACAUAUAGCGGAAUUGUACCAAACUAUAUAGUUAUAGCACCUCUAUAGGCUGAAUUAAGCUCGAUUUUCAUGCACGCGCAUUCUAGCUCCUAAAUAUCGAGUCCUAUACAGUAAUUUAGAAUUUACAUAUAUAUACAUAUAUAUAUAUAUAUAUAUAUAUAUAUAUAUAUAUAUAUAUAUAUAUAUAUAUAUAUAUAUAUAUAUAUAUAUACCGAUAUAGGGCUAUAUACAUAUAUAUACCAUGCAUGCAAUAAUCGGGGACCGAAUCACAUUUUGUACCAUUGUGAUAACAUACCAUUUGCGGAUUUGCGUUAUGACAUGUCCAAUUUGAUCAUCUCACUUUAUUUUCCAUAAUAAUAUAUAUUAUAUAAAACUUUUCCAGAUUGAUAUGAAUAAUCCGAUUUGCAUGCAUACUGUUUACCAAGCGUUGAGAGUUUAAUUAAUCACUCACAAUUCUAUUAUUCGGAUUGAAUAAUGGCUAUUUCCCUUUCAGCACCGAUCAUUUACUUUAUACAGAGUAUUAAAAUUUGCACAUGACUGAAGCAAAGAAGAUUUUGUUUGCAUAAAACUCCUACUGAUCAGGUAUAAUUAGCAUAAUUUUUACACAGCUUAUUCAGUAGUUAUAAAUAUACCAUUAUAGUAAGUAUUAUUAAAAUGUAUCUGAAAAUAUAUUGAGAAUUUUAAAUCCUAUAUAUACUGUAUAGAAUGCGUGAUUUAUUGCCUGCAUGCAUGGUCGAUGUGUCAAAAUAAAGUCACCUUGUAUACAGUGUGACCAUGCAUAUACAUGCACCAUAUUCUUAAUAACGCGGCUAACCUCAGUAUAAAAUUAUAUAGUGCAUGUAUGUAGUCAGUAUUUUAUUUAUAAGGUGAAUGAAAACGUUACAGUCAUUAAUGUAGUGUGGUUUACCAAUUUCUGGUAAAGAUAUUUUGGUAACACAUUCUCAAUAUUUUGACCAUGGAUUACACGACGUGUAUUUCAAGAACGGUGCUUUUUCCUGAAUAUUUCAACAUAUUGAGACUAGAAUCGAAUAAGCUUUUGUUGAUUCAAAGCGCAGUUUUUAACUUGGGGGUCAGACAAACAUUACCAAGUACUUUUUCUACCUUGUGUAAACUGUGUUCAAGUGUUUAUGCACCAAUGUUUGAUUAUGUCAAUUAAUGUCAAAUUGCAAAUUUGACGUUAUUAUAUACUUUAGAAAUAUUCGCCUUCCUUCUCGGUUUCCGUUUCAGCUCCUAUCUUUCACUGUGAUUACAAAAGACGAGGAUGAGAGUCAUCUGCACAGACGUCUUGGUCAUCGUGUUCAAAAGAAGAAAACAUGAAGAUUUGGUGCAUCAUUUCAAUUCUCCUGAUGGAGAUAUUGUGUAGUUCUGGGGUAACUAUAUAAUAUAGAUUUGUUAACUAUACUUUGACUUAUCUUUUAGCACUUAUAUUAACUGUAUUUUGUUGUGGAGUUUUCUUCUAAAACAAUUACAUGUGCUAUAUACGUAUUAUCUUAAACAAAUUACGAAUUCUGUUUCGAGAAAAGAAACGUUUAAUCUGAUCUUUUUAUUUUGUCCAAUAAUAUUGAUUAUAGAUAUUCUUUAUUUAAAAAUAGUACUAAGAAAAUCACAAUUGUUUGGAGAAAUUGUUCGACUUCUAUGUGUUUACUUCUCUAACUGGCGAUAUGUAUAUAUAGGUUAUUUUGAGGCAACGAGGGGAUAUGUGAUUUAUUCGCCGAGGCGCGCCGCGCCGAGGUGAAUAAACACAUAUCCCCGAGGUGCCUCAAAAUAACGACUUAUUUUUCACAUUGCGAGGUCGCGUUAAUUAAUGAGUCAGAAUAGAAAUAAUUCUUAAUGCCAUAUUGCCUUCGUUAUGUUGGUUUUUUUUUCUCAUUUUUUGUGCUGCAAAGACAUUAGAGGUGAAUAUUAGGCUAAAGGGGAUUAUUAAACGGAAAUUGAUUAGAGGGGAAUAUUGAAUAUAUUCCCGGAUAGGAACAAAGGAAACCGAGCAAGGUGAAAAAUAAAUUGACAUGUUUAGUUAAUCCUCCCAUUUAAAAAUUCAACUUGUGCGUUGGAUGAACUCAGUGUUUUACCAAGAUAAUUAUAUAGCAGGGUAUAGCAAUUCUAAAAGCUUAUAAUUAUAUGCAUUAACAAUCUGCAGAAAAUCAAGGUACUGAAAGGAAACAAUCCUGGGGUAUGCUCGAAAAAGAAUAGUGGUGAGGUCAUGUUAGUUCGAGAUCGACAAAACAAACAUAAACUUCUGAUCUGUACCAACGACAACGGCAUGUUUGCAUGGAGAACAUUGGACGGUAUUGUUUUAUUAUUU